rnacentral:rRNA from 1 species
CCUACGGGAGGCAGCAGUGGGGAAUUUUGCGCAAUGCUCGUAAGAGUGACGCAGCGACGCCGCGUGAAUGACGAAGGCCUUCGGGUCGUAAAGUUCUUUCGACAGGGAAGAAAAUGCCUAUAAGUAACUGUGUAUGUAUUGACGGUACCUGUAUGAGCAGCCCCGGCUAACUCCGUGCCAGCAGCCGCGGUAAUACGGAGGGGGCGAGCGUUGUUCGGAGGGACUGGGCGUAAAGGGCACGUAGGCGGUGUUGUAAGUCAUUAGUCAAAGACUAGAGCUCAACUUUAGUAAGGCUAGUGAUACUAUAAUACUAGAGUAUCAGAGAGGAUUGCAGAAUUCCUGGUGUAGCGGUGAAAUGCGUAGAUAUCAGGAGGAAUACCGUUAGCGAAGGCGGCAAUCUGGCUGGAAACUGACGCUGAGGUGCGAAAGCGUGGGUAGCAAACAGGAUUAGAUACCCCUGUAGUC